CCUACGUGUGGCAGCAGUGGGGAAUUUUGGACAAUGGGGGCAACCCUGAUCCAGCCAUGCCGCGUGUAUGAAGAAGGCCUUCGGGUUGUCAAGUACUUUUGUUCGGGAAGCAAAGGAGGGUGCUAAUACCACCCUUUGCUGACGGUACCGAAAGAAUAAGCACCGGCUAACUACGUGCCAGCAGCCGCGGUAAUACGUAGGGGGCGGGCGAUAAUCGGAAUUACUGGGCGUAAAGCGAGCGCAGAUGGUUAUUUAAGCAGGAUGUGAAAUCCCCGGGCUCAACCUGGGAACUGCGUUCUGAAAUGGAUAGCUAGAGUGUGUCAGAGGGGGGUAGAAUUCCACGUGUAGCAGUGAAAUGCGUAGAGAUGUGGAGGAAUACCGAUGGCGAAGGCAGCCCCCUGGGAUAACACUGACGUUCAUGCUCGAAAGCGUGGGUAGCAAACAGGAUUAGAUACCCCUGUAGUC
rnacentral:rRNA from 1 species